rnacentral:rRNA from 1 species
UACAGAGGUCCCGAGCGUUGUUCGGAUUCACUGGGCGUAAAGGGUGCGUAGGUGGCGAGGUAAGUCGGAUGUGAAAGCUCGGAGCUCAACUCCGAAAUGGCAUUGGAAACUACCUUGCUCGAGGGUUGGAGGGGGGACUGGAAUACUUGGUGUAGCAGUGAAAUGCGUAGAUAUCAAGUGGAACACCAGUGGCGAAGGCGAGUCCCUGGACAACUCCUGACACUGAGGCGCGAAAGCGUGGGGAGCAAACAGG